rnacentral:rRNA from 1 species
AUUGAACGCUGGCGGCAUGCCUUACACAUGCAAGUCGAACGGCAUCGCGGGAAAGCUUGCUUUCCUGGCGGCGAGUGGCGAACGGGUGAGUAACACAUCGGAACGUACCGGCUAGUGGGGGAUAACCCGUCGAAAGACGGGCUAAUACCGCAUACGCUCUUCGGAGGAAAGCAGGGGACCUUUGGGCCUUGCGCUAGCCGAGCGGCCGAUGUCCGAUUAGCUAGUUGGUGGGGUAAAGGCCUACCAAGGCGACGAUCGGUAGCGGGUCUGAGAGGACGAACCGGCACACUGGGACUGAGACACGGCCCAGACUCCUACGGGAGGCAGCAGUGGGGAAUCUUGGACAAUGGGGGCAACCCUGAUCCAGCAAUGCCGCGUGGGUGAAGAAGGCCUUCGGGUUGUAAAGCCCUUUCGGCAGGGAAGAAAUCGGCGGGGCGAAUAACCCUGCUGGAUGACGGUACCUGCAGAAGAAGCACCGGCUAACUACGUG